UGCUAAGGGCUGCGGAAAUGAGU
rnacentral:piRNA from 1 species